UACGUAGGCAGCGAGCGUUGUUCGGAAUUACUGGGCGUAAAGAGUGUGUAGGCGGUGCUCCCAGUCUGUUGUGAAAUCUCCCGGCUUAACUGGGAGGGUGCAGCGGAAACUAGAGUGCUAGAGGGUGGGAGAGGUAAGCGGAAUUCCUGGUGUAGCGGUGAAAUGCGUAGAUAUCGGGAGGAACACCAGUGGCGAAGGCGGCUCACUGGACCGGUACUGACGCUGAGGAGCGAAAGCGUGGGUAGCAAACAGG
rnacentral:rRNA from 1 species